CCUACGGGGGGCAGCAGUGAGGAAUAUUGGUCAAUGGACGAGAGUCUGAACCAGCCAAGUAGCGUGAAGGAUGACUGCCCUAUGGGUUGUAAACUUCUUUUAUAUGGGAAUAAAAUGUUCCACGUGUGGGAUUUUGUAUGUACCAUAUGAAUAAGGAUCGGCUAACUCCGUGCCAGCAGCCGCGGUAAUACGGAGGAUCCGAGCGUUAUCCGGAUUUAUUGGGUUUAAAGGGAGCGUAGGUGGAUUGUUAAGUCAGUUGUGAAAGUGUGCGGCUCAACCUUAAAAUUGCAGUUGAAACUGGCAGUCUUGAGUACAGUAGAGGUGGGCGGAAUUCGUGGUGUAGCGGUGAAAUGCAUAGAUAUCACGAAGAACUCCGAUUGCGAAGGCAGCUCGCUGGACUGCAACUGACACUGAGGCUCGAAAGUGUGGGUAUCAAACAGGAUUAGAUACCCUAGUAGUC
rnacentral:rRNA from 1 species